UACAGAGGGGGCAAGCGUUGUUCGGAAUUACUGGGCGUAAAGGGCGCGUAGGCGGCCCGCUAAGUCGAACGUGAAAUCCCCGAGCUCAACUCGGGAACUGCGUCCGAUACUGGUGGGCUUGAAUCCGGGAGAGGGAUGCGGAAUUCCAGGUGUAGCGGUGAAAUGCGUAGAUAUCUGGAGGAACACCGGUGGCGAAGGCGGCAUUCUGGACCGAAACUGACGCUGAGGCGCGAAAGCCAGGGGAGCAAACGGG
rnacentral:rRNA from 1 species